AUUGAACGCUGGCGGCAGGCUUAACACAUGCAAGUCGAGCGGGGUGAUGGUGCUUGCACUAUCACUUAGCGGCGGACGGGUGAGUAAUGCUUAGGAAUCUGCCUAUUAGUGGGGGACAACAUCUCGAAAGGGAUGCUAAUACCGCAUACGUCCUACGGGAGAAAGCAGGGGAUCACUUGUGACCUUGCGCUAAUAGAUGAGCCUAAGUCGGAUUAGCUAGUUGGUGGGGUAAAGGCAUACCAAGGCGAGGAUCGGUAGCGGGUCUGAGAGGAUGAACCGCCACACUGGGACUGGGACGCGGCCCAGAAUCCUACGGGAGGGAGCAGUGGGGAAUAUUGGACAAUGGGGGGAACCCUGAUCCAGCCAUGCCGCGUGUGUGAAGAAGGCCUGAUGGUUGUAAAGCACUUUAAGCGAGGAGGAGGCUCUUUUGGUUAAUACCCAAGAUGAGUGGACGUUACUCGCAGAAUAAGCACCGGCUAACUCUGUGCCAGCCGCCGCCGUAA
rnacentral:rRNA from 1 species